rnacentral:siRNA from 1 species
AUAAUGUGAGAAAACGGCGGUGGA